rnacentral:rRNA from 1 species
UUGGUGGGGUAAAGGCUUACCAAGGCAAUGAUGCGUAGCCGAACUGAGAGGUUGAUCGGCCACAUUGGGACUGAGACACGGCCCAAACUCCUACGGGAGGCAGCAGUAGGGAAUCUUCCACAAUGGGCGAAAGCCUGAUGGAGCAACGCCGCGUGGGUGAAGAAGGUCUUCGGAUCGUAAAACCCUGUUGUUAGAGAAGAAAGUGCGUGAGAGUAACUGUUCACGUUUCGACGGUAUCUAACCAGAAAGCCACGGCUAACUACGUGCCAGCAGCCGCGGUAAUACGUAGGUGGCAAGCGUUAUCCGGAUUUAUUGGGCGUAAAGGGAACGCAGGCGGUCUUUUAAGUCUGAUGUGAAAGCCUUCGGCUUAACCGGAGUAGUGCAUUGGAAACUGGGAGACUUGAGUGCAGAAGAGGAGAGUGGAACUCCAUGUGUAGCGGUGAAAUGCGUAGAUAUAUGGAAGAACACCAGUGGCGAAAGCGGCUCUCUGGUCUGUAACUGACGCUGAGGUUCGAAAGCGUGGGUAGCAAACAGGAUUAGAUACCCUGGUAGUCCACGCCG